rnacentral:lncRNA from 1 species
AGCCAUUGGUAAUCCAACGACUCGAGAUGUAACAGAAGCAAUGGAGAAAGUAUUGGCUAUUGACAAAGCCUUCCCACUUCCAUUACUAGGAAAAAUGCUUGAGAAAUUCCCAAGUGCAGUUGAACCUGCAGUGUGGUGGCCUCAACAAAGGCGAAAACAAGCAAAGGGACUUGGAAAUGGAAUGUAUAAAAACGGAUGGAGUGAAAGGCUAGAAAAGGAAAUGAAGGAAAUAGUUGGAGUUCUUGGGAAACAUGAUAAGGCUGAUUAUAUUAGGCUGGGCCAAAAAGCUUUAAAACUAAACAAAGUGUUGGCUGUUUCGGGUCCUUUACUAACAGGGUUAGCUGCUGUUGGUAGUGUUCUUGUGGGGAACUCAUCAAGUCCUACUGUUGGCGCAGUGGGAUCUGUUCUUGGCAUUGUGGCUGGAGGAAUGGCUAGCGUUGCAAACACAUUGGAACACGGUGGACAAGUGGGAAUGGUGUUUGAAUUGUAUAGGAGUAAUGCAGGUAUAUUUAAAGAAAUGGAGGAGUACAUAACAUCAAAUUUGGAGGAGAAGGAUGUGGAGAGGAGAGAAAACGGAGAAGUUCUGGAAAUGAAAGUGGCCUUGCAAUUGGGAAGGAGUCUAUCAGGGUUAAGAGACCGAGCUGAUAAAGGACAGUUUGAUGAAGAGUUUGGAAGCAAGCUCUUUUGAUGCAACUCUAGUUCAUUUUGUGAUCAAGAGUGUAGUUUAUUCUUUAGUUCUUUGUACAUGUAGGAGCUAACAUUAACAUGGAGAUUAAAGAUAUACAUCCUUCUUUGUAAAUUCUUGGAAUCAAAUAAAAUUUGAUUUCUUCUAUAUUGUGUAUAUAUGAAUAAUAUAUGAUUUACUUAGAAUUGUAUUCUAAAAAGAACUGGGGAGUCUGGAGUCCUGACAUUAUAUGUAUUAAUAUUUUGUAUGGGAAGAACUCCAAAUAUUUCAUCUGUAUGCAUGCUUUAUGAAGACGGAUCACCGAAACUACUGUUCAUCAAUUUAGGAUAAAGAGAUGGAGGUGAUAUAAGGGAGAGAUUGAUGAAGAGUUUGGCGACCGUCCGAUGACCGAUAGCAAACUGCGACCGCUAGUCGAGCCAAGUCAGGCCGGUUGUCCAUGUGUCUGCGACCACAUUCGCGACUGAUCGCUGUCGCUAAUUCAACGACUGAUAAUAUUGGUUAGCAGAUUUUGUCGCUAUAUUUGCGAUGGAUUUUAGCGACCGAAUAUAGUUGCUAAUUCAACGCCACUACUCGUUACCAGAUUUGCUUGAUAUAUAUGCGACCGAUAUUAGCGACCAAAUGCAUUCACUGAACCUUGUGCCUUGUAUUAGCAACGAGAUAUGGUAGUUAAUGUUUAUUCAAAUGCCGACUAUUUUCAACCACUGCGUUCGGUCGCUGAUAAUAUUUUUCAGAAUAUUUUUAAAAAUAUCCUAACAUACAACAUUCACAAGAAUACAAACAUUUCCUUUGUCCUCACAUAGUACAAUACAUAUAAUUUUUCUCAAACUCUUAUCAUCAACUUGAAUAAUUAUUCAAAUAUAAAAGUUUAUUACAUCAUCCAAGAAAAAUAAAAAAAAAUCCAUUAUAUGUUCCAAUUUUGUUGAAGUACGCAAUUACUGUUUAGAAAUAAAUACAACCAUAAUACACUAAAUUCCGCCAGACUCGUCUUCCUGAUCAUCAUGAUGUGACCCCUAUGAUUAACAGAUGAAUAUGAAAAAUUUACAUAUGCAAGGUAUAUAUUACGAAAAAUAAUUUACUUUGACAAAAAAUAAGUUAGCUUUACAAAACAAUAUACCUCAGUAUCAUCCCGACGACGUGAUGCAGCUGCCGUCUCCACUGCACGAGCUAAUGCCUCGGGAUCUAAGAGGCAUCUAUAGCUCCCAGAUGCCCGCCUAGUGUAAGAAGAAGUUCUUGAUUUUGGCAUAUGGUUCUCACACAGUCAGCCGCAAUAUGAGUAAACAGAUGACUUGAUGACUGUGAAGAUUGACUGCCACCUGAGCCAUUGAGUGAGCCAUUAAUUGAUGGGUAUCGUCGUUGUCCUUGACCUUUGACAUAAUUCUUCUUCACAACAGAAGCCGUCUCCCACAACUCCUGAUCAAAAAUAGGACGCUCGCGGUCCUCAGGAUAGCGCUCAUCAAAUAAACGACGAUAAUUUUCCUGUUAUCACAUUAACAAUAAAAUUGUUAUAAAUAAUUUGGUAAUAUUGUAACGAGUAAACAACAAUUUGAUGGCCUGGAGGAUCAAAAAACUAAUUUUAACAAACUUGUGAUAAUGACACUGAAAAAAUUCCAAGCAGGAUAUAGGGUCGGUUUGUUUAGCGGAAGCGGCUUCUACAUUCUGACUUUUGUUUUUCUUGAUCCGUUUGUGUAUAGUAGAACUAUUUUUAAGAAGCUGAGAAUGCUAGCUUCUCUUCCAAACACUUUAUUAGCUUAUUUACUUCUAAUUUUUAAUCCGCUUCUUUAUUUUAUGCAAGAGAUCACUUUUUUAAGAUCACCCGAACAGCUACAUAUAAUUGAACUGGCCUUGGCGGAUUACAAGGCUAGGAUAUAUUUAGUUCCCUGUAGAUCAAAAGGUUAUGGUAUUUUGAAUAUUAAUUAAGACUUUAGCAAUUUUUUAUGGAACCUUUCCUCAUAUUUUACUAAUUAUAAGCAUUAGAUAAUUCUAAUUUCUGAUAAAACAAAUUCAGAGCUUUUAAAAUGUAUUACCGCUGUAUUAAAGAGAUUAAAGAGUUUUAUUGAAGAGUGUUGAGUGAGUGAGCGACUCUAUUUUUGUGAUACAUUCAUAUUUAAUAGAUUUAUUGUUUUACCCUUUUUUGAGAAAUUUCCAUAUUAAUUAUUUGUGUUAUUUAGUUUCUUAUUUAUUAUUAUGUUUGAUAAACGUUAAUCAUUUAUAAUAUAUGCUAUCCUAAUAAUAUCUGUUAGGCAUGGUUGCCUUUAAGUCGGGGAAUUUAAUACUUGAGUGCCAUGUCUGAGUUGACUUUCAUAGUUAAUAUUCCUUGUCUCUUUUUAGUUCUCAUAUUUGUAUUUUUGCUGGUCAAAUUAACUAAUGCCCUAGUUGGGAAUUAGCUGUUAACAGUUAACUGUUAGCGGAUUGAAUUGAAUAUUUUGACUAGCGGAUUGAAAUAGAUGUUUUGACUAGCGGAUUGAAUUACACUACAAGAAAAACGGGCAUUUCCGACCGCCAAAAUCGGUCGGAAAUAAGCAAAAUCGGUCGGUUUUGAGGUCAUUUCCGACCACCGACCGACCGACCACGUCGGUCCCUUUAAACCGAGUCGGAAAUGACGUAUCGGUCCGAAAUGAGUUAUAAAACCGACCGAUUCUGUCGGUCGGAAAUGUGUUGCCAUGUCCAUAUACACGUGGAUUGUAUCAGAUAAAUCUGGCCCACCGUUGACGUGUCAUACACGUGGAUUGUCUCAAAACCGACCAAUGAUGGUCGGAAAUGUGUUGGUCGGUAAAGAAGUUCAGGGCUCAGCUGUGGGGCCCAGUUGUAAAAACGACCACAUUGUGGUCGAAAAUGAUUCGGUCGGAAAUUCCUUUUCAGGGUCCAUUGGAUGAGCUUCUGGGCUAAAACCGACCACCCAGUGGUCGGAAUUGAGUUGGUGGGAAAUGGCUUUCAGGGUCCAUUGGGGGAGCUUCUGGGCUAAAAUCGACCACCCAAAUUACAUACAUCUGGUCGAAAAUGAGUUGGUCAGAAAUGAGUUGGUCGUUUUUCUUGGUUUCAGGAUAUGAAUUUGGUCAGAAAUGUAUACAUCUGGUCGGUUUUCUAGGUUUUUUUUACCAUUCUUGGUCAGAAAAUGAGCAAAUUUGGUCGGUUUUCUGGAGAUAAAAUUUCAAAAAAAUGCAGUAUUUACAUUGUAAAUUAUACCAUAUCCCUGUUAUUUUACCAAACCAACAAUGCACAUACAAUAUCCAAUUUCAAAACCAAAAUCAAGAAUCAUAUCCAUCAAAAUUCAGUACGACAUAAUUUAAAAGCCAACAAGCAUUCAUAUAUUUAAACAAGAACAGUUAUAAAAUUUAGUACGACAUAAAUGUUACAGCUGAACAAUCAGCCAAAAGCCAACAAUCAUAUACGCAAUAACUGAACAAUCAAAAGCCAAAAGCAAUGUUUUAACAAAAUCAACAUCCCUACCAAUAAUGUAUCUAACUAGGUAGCUUCAUUUCAAUCUUCCUCAUCGCCAUCACCAUCAUCAUCCCCAUCAAUGUCAUUCUCCGAACUCUCACCAUCGGUGACAUCCUUAGUUGCCUCCGCAAUUGCCUGCAAUAAUUAGAAAAUUUAUAUUCCAUCACCAUAUCUCUAAAAAAUAAAUCUAUCUCUAAAAAAAUAUUUUCUUAUAACAUCUGAUCUCGAUAUUUCUAAAUAAUUCAAGUGCCAAUAUCUGUAACGAGGAAAAAAGAAGAUUUGGCUCUAUUUUUGUUUAGCCGUCGGCCAAUUGCCCUUUUUGGAUAGUCUUCUAAACAGGCAUGAAGUAAAAUUUAAGAGCAUAAGUAAUUUGACCCCACUUGUAUUUUUAAUAUGUGUUAUACAUGUUUCUCGUCGCUAAUUAGCUGUUUCUCAUAAAACUAUUUGGUAAAUAGCUGAUUGAUUAGCUGUUUUUAACACAAACCAAAACCUCUAACCCAAAAAACUCCUCAAAGUAGCUUUUUCGAAAUUAGUUUUUUGGGUCCAAACUUCUAUUUCAAUCCGCUAACUACCAAACACUUAUAUUAACGGAUUAUAGUGGUCAAAUUAACCUCUAAGUCACCUUAAACCUCUAAUUUUACCUCAAACCUCUAACUUCCAAACAGGGCCUAAGUUUUGACCAAAGAUUAUAAAUCACUCUUUCAUUAUUUUAAAAAUCUGAAAAUUACAUUUUAAAGUAGAUUAAAAGUUAUUCCCGAUGACAUUUUUUUUUAUUUUGUCAACUGAUAAAAUAUUAAUAAAUUUCAGUCAAACUUUAGUCAAUUUUACCGACACAAAACCAAAUGUGACAACUAAAAAGGGACGGAGGGAGUAGAUUUUUCAUCUAUUUAAGUUAAUAAUCAAUUUUAAUACGAGAAAUUAACUAUUCAAAUUCUAAAACUUUUAAAGUAUUUUAAAUGUCAGAGUAUUAAAUAUUUUAAAAUAUCAGAUCUAAGAGUUCAAUUUAUUUGACACUGUUGGAUAACUCAAGUGGUUAACAUAUCCUCUCUCGUCCCAGUUGCUGGGUUUGAUCCUAACUCAUCCCCAGAAUGAGCGAUUUUGGCUCAUUCCGAGUAUUUUUUAGAACAAAUACUCAUUUGUAAAAUUAGUUCUAUCUAUUUGAUAUAUGAAAUAUGCCGUCUAUCGUUUAUAUAUUAUUAUAUCAAUUUACAAAUCAAAUUUUUAUAUAGUUAAUCUUAAUUCUAUGAUAUAUAUUGAACUACAAGUCAAUCGACUAAUUAAUUUUUGUAUAUAUACUCCGGUAUUUAGUACAAUUAUGUAACACACAUAUUAUGUAAUGUGUUUGAAGUUUAUUAGAGGGCAAGUAUGACGAUGAGGCGUAAUAUAUUUGGUGGUGGGCGAGAGCGAGAGGUGGAUAGCACAAAGCCAUUCAAGUGUGCUGUCGUCCACUAGGCUUAAAGAGAUUAAGAAAUUAAUGUGAUAAGCUUGCUAACAUGGAGGACAAGUUGAUGAUCACAUUUAUUAACCGUUCAGAAUUAUAGAUGUUAUUCAUUCCUCAGUUGUCAUCACGUCUAAAUCAUUAGUUGCCAUUGCUAUGCGGCAUUCUAAAAUAUAUAUCAUCCGUUUAAAGUCAAACUAAUUUGGUCGAUACAUUUCAUGUGAGCAACCAACUUGUUAGAAACAAUAAUUUGACACAUUCAACAUGAUCUUUGUUAUUCAAGCAUAUUGUAAAUUAUUUUGCCAAAUUUACAAGGUAUGCGAUCUAAUUAUGGUAUAAUUAAAUCUCCUGUAAUAUAAAAAACCAAAUGGAGCUGUAGUCAGGAUUUGACAUUCUCGCUAGCGAAAUUCAACGCCAGAAAUACUAAUAAAAAACCUUUAUCAAUUGAAUUAAAAAAUUAUUUCAUACAAAUAAAAAGCAUGUACGUAUGUGUUACAACACUCUUCAAUUGUUUUUCUCCAUAUCAUAUAGCCAGUUGUCCAUAUAAAAAUCAUGGAGUUCCGGUCAAACUUCUAGCUGAUUAUAGAAAGAUGUACAAGUAUAUUUGUAUAUUCAAUAUGAACCGGCCCAUUUAAUACAAAUUUCUUAUUAAGCAAUAUCUAAAAAUAAAAUAAUUUUGAUAUAAUAAUAAAUGUAUUCGACCACUUUUGAUUAUUAUUACAAAUUAAGUAGAUAUUUCACUAAAUACAAAGAACAAAUAUAUUUUAAUUUUCUAUAAACCCAUUAAAUACAUAAAAUAAUAAUUUCAAUACAAUAUACGAUUUUUUUUAAAAUAUAAAUAUUACUACUCAUACUUUUCAUCGAAGUAAAAUUAACUUCGAAACAUUUAUUUUAGAGAAAACUUAAAUUCGUACUUUUUGUGAAACAUAUAUAUAUAUAUAUGAGUUAAGUUCUAUGGAGUACAUAUAUACAAAUUAUAAUUUUUUAGUUUAAUGAUAAAUAAUAUCUCUGAUUAUCCAAAUUUAUAUAUAAUUUAUCAUUUAUAAGUAAUAUUAAACAUAAUUAUCAAUUAAUCAUUAAUAUCUUUCAACUUUAAGAAGCAUUAAGAUUGGUGUUCUGCUUGCUUAUAAGUUAUAUUGCAGAACAUAAUGUCCUACGAUUUAUAAAAGUAAUUGUUCUAUCUUUUGAUUACAAUGUUUAUGGUGUAGAACAUAAUCUGCAGGUUGUCGGNUAUAUAUAUAUAUAUAUAUAUAUAUAUAUAUAUAUAUAUAUAUAUAUAUAUAUAUAUAUGAUGUACCUCCUAUAUAUUUGUUAAACUCAUUAUAAUUUUAUAAUAAUAUUAUUAUAAUUAUAUAAAUAAGAGUUUCUAUAUGUUUAAAUUUCUCCGAGAUUUAUAUAUAAUGAACAGAUAACCAUCAUAAAAUCUCUAUACGCUACGUAUUUGGAAUGAGAAAAAAUUAUUAGUAUAAAAAAAAUUCAUUCUUCAUGAGGUUGACAUAUAAAUUUAUAAUCUUACAUCAUCAAUAUAUCAAUAUAAAGGAGAAGCAUGGGGCGUUUAGGUGGCGCCUCUCAGAGAGCUCUGUUCAAUUUUUCUAAUUUUCUGGAAUUUUUGGAUGAAAAAAUAUCAAAAAUAAAAAUUGUCUUUUUUAGUUUCGAAUAUAUUAGAAGAAAGUUUCAGAAGUACCUUUUUCUAAAUAUCAAAAUCAAAUCAGAAUCUGAAAUUAUCAUCAUAUUUUUAGAAAAGGUGUAUAUCAAAAACAGAAAGUAUUUUUAAUAAGCCGGUCUUUUCUGAAAUCAACCCCUAUAAAUUAAGGCUAGACUUCAUAAAAUUUAUAAUACGCAAUUUUUCUUGAGCUUAUUUGUCUUCUCUAUCUAAUACAAUAAUGAGUUACACCCUAGAUGUUUUGAAUGAUGAUAGAGAUGAUUUGGGGUAAGAGUUUGUCGGAUUUGGUAGUCGACAAACCCAAACACGAGAAAACCAUAUAGUCUUGACAUGAUAUUGAUGGAUGAAAAGGUUAAUAGAUUAACUGUUAGGAAUAUAUGUUUGUUCUUUAAUUUUUUAAAAUAUUUGUUUUGUUCAUCGGAUAUGUUUGUUAUUGUUAAUUUUUAUAUGGUUUACUUUGUAUAUAGGAAAAGAAUUUCAUGCAACAACUUCACAAUAUCUGUUGCUCAGUUCAAGCACUUUUUAAGUGAAGGCUGUUUAUAUAGCAUAAAUAAAGGUUGUUGCAAGGGUAGUUAUAAACCAAGAUCUCAUGGAUAUAAGUUGAUGUUUCUGCGGUCAAUCAAUCAAAAAAAAGGAAGGAAUCACUGAUACACCCAUGCAUGGAUGGGAGUUCAUACGUCUGAGAUGAUUAAUGUCCGUACAACUAGAACAUAAUGUUUAUCCCUAUUAAACUUAGGGAUGAUUUCAGAGUUGUAUCUCAAUAUCUUUUAGACUUUUACGCACCUAUGUUAAACAAAACCAAAAUUAAUAUUUGUCAUGCUUUGAAUCGUUAAUUACAUGUAGAUUUUUAUUUUCAUUUUUUCACUCAUGAAUUAUAGUUCAAUUUUGCAAUUUUAUAUAUUAAUAUUGGUAUUGCACCGAGAUGUUUAUAAUAUAAAAUUAUUUUAUUCUAUAAAUAUUAAUUUUGAAUUAUUAAUAUAAUUUUUAUAGGUUGUCGCUAGGGCUGUUCACGAACCGAGCCGAGCCGAGUUUUGACCGAGUCGAGCCGAGCUUUAAAUUUUUUCAUAUCGAACCGAGCCGAGCCGAGCUUUCUUAUCGAACAAAAAAGUGUGUUCGAGCUCGCGGCCGAGCCGAGUUUUGACCGAGUCGAGCCGAGCUUUAAAUUUUUUCAUAUCGAACCGAGCCGAGCCGAGCUUUCUUAUCGAACAAAAAAGUGUGUUCGAGCUCGCGCUCGAUAACUAACGAGCCGAACACGAGCUUGUUCACGAACAAAUACGAGCCGAGUCGAGUCGAGUCGAGCCGAGCCGAGCCAGAGAAAAAUAAGGCCAAACCGCUACUUUACUCUUAAAAUAGCAAGCCAAAUAAAAUUUUUAGUAUGUUUUGAUGGUACCAUAUUAUAGUUGAUAUUCUCAUGAUCGAUUUGAUAUAUUAUAUGUUGAAUUCGGCGUUCAAUAACAUAUAUAUAUUACGAAAUUAUUAUGAAAAUAUUGCUUUUUUUUCGAGCUUUAACGAGCCGAGCUCGAGCCGAACGAGUUCGAGCCGAACUUGAGCCGAGCUCGAGCCGAACAUACUAAAAGCUCGGCUCGAGCUCGUUUUUCUUAACGAACAAUUUUUUGUGUUCGAGCUCGAGCUCGUUAACUUAACGAGCCGAGCCGAACGAGCUCUUACCGAGCUCGAGCUUGUUCGCGAACAGCUCGGUUCGUUAAACAGCCCUAGUUGUCACAAAUUUAUUUAAUUGUAUAAAUUUUAAAAUUUAAUCAUUAACAUAAUUUUUAUAACCCGCCGCAACGCGCGGCUUUCCAACUAGUUUUAUAAAAGAAUAACAUAUGUUUCAUGCGCCAUGAUUAUAUGUAUAUAUAAUUAAUACUCUAAUUUAAAUCUUGUUCAUAAUAUAAUUAAUCUUGGCUUUUAAUAAAGUAGAUUGACAUUUUCAACUUUUCAUAAAAAUUAAUCCUUUCAUUGACCAAUUUCUUUUAUAAACAAUCAUUGAAAACUAAGAACAUAACGUUGAUGUUUGGUUGGGUUUCUCUACACGAGAAUGAGUUUACUUGUAACCAAAUCCAUAAGAAAACUUUUUAAUUAUAAAUUAAUAGACGAUAAAUUGAUAAUAUCUAUUUUAUUUAAUUAAAUUAGAAAUAUUUUUUCCUAUUAUACCAUAAUAUUUUUCACUUCUAAUAACCCAUUUCAAUUGUAAAGCAAAUUGUAUACUUGAAAUCUUUGUAAACAAAUGAUGGAAUAGGCUUUUAAAUCUUACAAACCAAAGUAAUAAGUGAGAUACAAAUGAAUAAUCAAAAUUUGGGUAUGAAGCUUAGCUUAAAUAUAUCUCAAUCCAUUAUCAGAGAGAUAGAUGUAGUAAAAAAUGUGAUGAUACAUGUGAAAAAACCAAUAAUAUCCCAUUUAAUUAUUUUGAUUUCUAAAAUUUUAUUUUAUAAAAAUGUAAAUAACUAUUUUAAUUUAUAUAUUAUUAGUAUUACACUUAAUAAAUUUUAAAUAAAGAUAAAUUCAUUCCAAUACAUAAAUUAAAAAUAAUUUUAACUCAAUAAAAAAUUCUAACUUAUAAAUAAUAAAUUACACAUUUCUCCAAAUGAAUGACAUGGAACACUUUAUAAUUGAAAUUUAUUGGGAGUUGACAGUGCCAAAAAUAUAUUCUAACAUUGUAAGUUAUGUGUGUUGAAUGUAAAGUCAGGACUCAGAACAAGACUGUGGCAAGCAACACCCAAGAACUUGCCAUAUACAGAUAAUGUGGAUUGUCCAACUUUGAAUAUUUGACUUUUUCCUAUCUGUACUAUCUAUAUAUAUGCUGCCCCUUUAUUACUCUCAAACCAAACUCAAGAACACACACAUUCUUAUAACUUUGAUCCCAAAUUAUCCUUCAAUACUUUGAUUUUUAAACAUUCUUUUUAUCAACUAAAAAUUUGUGUAAGAAUAAGACAAGUUCCUACAACUGCAAGUAGUUUUUUGGUUCUGAUGGCAAGUCUUCAAGCCACAACUUUGUUGUUUUCCUCUUCUUGUUCUUCUUUCUCAACUAAAACCAAUUGCCAGAGAAGCAUAACAACAAGAGCUUCCUUAAAUAUUCCCAACAAUGCUUUAAGCUCUUUGUCUCUUCCAAAGUUUCAACAAAGAGGGAGCAAUGUAGAGGAGUUGGACUUUAGAAGAGCUACUAAUAAUUAUACGCAAACUCAUCCCGGAGAUACUUCUCCUCUGAGUUCUUAUGAAGAAACUUCCUCUGAUCCGGUUGUGAUGGCUAAGCUUUACGCGAUCAUGGACUCUGUAGCCGACAGAAUUGAGAUGCAUAAGAACAUUUGUGAGCAGAGAAACAACUGGAACAGCUUAUUGUUAACAUCCAUCAACACGAUUACACUUGCAGCCACGACUAUGGUUGGCAUAGCAGCUACAAGUUCAGCAGAUGGAACAGCUUUACUAUCUUUGAAAAUGACUUCCACUUUACUUUUCAUGGCAGCCGCAGGUAUGCUAGUUAUGAUGAACAAGAUCCAACCAUCUCAAUUGGCUGAGGAACAAAGAAACGCGACAAGAUUGUGUAAGCAACUCCACAGCCAGAUUCAAACAACGAUAGCCAUCGGUAAUCCAACCACUCGAGAUGUUAGAGAAGCAAUGGAGAAAGUAUUGGCUAUUGACAAAGCCUUCCCGCUUCCAUUACUUGGAAAAAUGCUUGAAAAAUUCCCAAGUGCAGUGGAACCUGCAGUGUGGUGGCCACAGCAAAGGCGAAAACAACCAAAGGGACUUGGAAAUGGUAUGUAUAAAAACGGAUGGAGUGAAAGGCUAGAAAAGGAAAUGAAGGAAAUAGUUGGAGUUCUGGGGAAACAUGAUAAGGCCGA